CAAGCAAAUUCAUCCUUGCUCAUUAGCAUUCAAGGGAGAAAGGAAAGCUGCUCUUAAGCAGACCUUCAGAAUGACCUGUAUUUUUGGGUUAGUCUGAGAAAUUCUCUCCCUGACCUUUUAAUUGGAGGCAGUGUGUUAGAUUUAGUAUUAUUAAAGAUGUUUGCUCUUCAGAAUACCUUCUAUUGUUCUCGUUAGUACCCCUUACUCCCAAGUGGCAUAAAGAACACUGUUUUGAGAAGAGGAUCCAGGGAUGGCCAAGACAAGAGAAAUAGGAGUGAAGCUGAAGGGAACGUGGAAAGGCAGACCCACUCCAAGGCUUUUGACUUGCCACACCUUUCCGAGAGGAUGACAUCUCAGAGGCUCUGUGUCUGUCCCAGAUUGUGACUGUUUUCUUCUGAAGAGCAAACGUGAGAUUCAAAGAGCGCCUGGCAAAAGCUGCUUCUAGUACUGCAGCAGCAGCAUGGGAAGUAUUUCAUGUAUGUAGAAGAUAGAGCAUCUGUGUAGGCGGUUGUUUUCUGCAACUCUCUGUGAGUUUGGGGAGAAGUUAUUAAGUACUGCUUCUCCUUCUUUCUUUAAAAAAGGACAGAGAGAGAAAGCCUGCAUUUUCUACCAUUUCCCAAGAGGCUUUUUAUCUGUUUAAACCAACUAGGGAUUUUUCACAUAUUGACAUAAGCAUUCAUUUGCUAAUUUGCUGGACAUUAAACUGCACAGCAUUCUUGAAUGAGGCUGGAAUACUUGGGUACUUAGUGCUGCUCAGACCCCGCAUCAUUCCCAGUACACAUAUGGUUUUCCUCCUCUAUCUCCUAGAUAAAAGUCACUGUUUGAUCGCCUUAAGGGAAAGAAUGAGUUAAAUGGACCAAUAUUUUAGCCUUGGCUCUAAAACUGGGCCUUUUCAGAAACUCCUCAGCACCUGCAGCAGCUAGGUCAUUUGCACAUACAUAAAUAAAUAAAUUAACAAUGAAUAAAUAAUUUAAUCCCGCCACACAAUGCCACCUUGCAGAUCUGAUCCUUUGCUCCCAGUGAAUUUGUCCAUUCCUAAUUCUUUUUGAUAAAGUCUUCAGAUACUUGCUGACUGUCAGUCUAAUUUUCUUAUUGUUUUCGCUUGAUUAGUUCUGUAUGACCUAAGGUCGCCCUUAAAAUCCACAUCUCUCGUGAAGACUCCGAAAGGCCUUCUUUUUUUUCAAAGGGAUGGAAAGUGCCUGCCAUUUCUCCGGACAAAAGCCUGGAAGGUUUUCAGUUAUUAGCCUUCUGAAGCAGCCCUUUCGCUCACCCAAGCGCAAAAAAAACUCAUUAGGGGGCACCUUUCUUUCUGCCUUCUUCAUCUGAUGCGUGUGGGGUUUACGUGUUUCAAGACUUUCAGGUCUCGGAUGGAUUUGGGCAGCCUCCCUUUUAACCCUGCCGGACUGUGGUUACGCCCUGGGCAGAGAUUGGCUGUAUCUGUGUGCACUGAACCACCUGGAGAUGCUUCGUCCUUUCAGCAGCUGUUUUACGCCCCGCUGGUCUGCUGUUCUGUUGAGCGCUUCUGCCCAACGUACAGCGCUGCCAUACCUGUGCCUGCCUCUUAGGAAAAAGAGCAACCCAAAAGUAUACUGACAGGAUGUUCAUACAUGGAGUUCCUGAAGCCCUUUGCUUCUUUUUGGCCAUGUGUAAGAAUGGGAGGGGAGUACCAUGGCUAUUGGCAUGCAGGCAUCUGGGAGGUAAACCUGUGCCACAGGAGCUUCUGAGUAUGAUAUUUUGACAACCAGUCUAUGGAAAAAGUUACAGUGACGGGAAGACUCUCUGAAGAGCCCUUAAGAAGCCACAUGUUGGCAGCUGAAUUUCAAUCCAUCCCAAAUCUCCACAGCUUCCUGCUAGAAGAGGAUGAAAUUGACCACAUGCUCUCAAAAUUCAUCUCAGUCUGAAAAGGCAGGUUAACUGCAAAUCCAUUUGGGGAAAAAAUUAUAGCAAAAAAAAAAAAUAUAUAUAUA
ensembl:lncRNA